UUACGUCCAUAUCACAUUGAAACACCAGUUCUAAUAUGAUCACUGAAGUUAAGCAAUAUUGAGUCUGGUCAGUACCUGGAUGGGUGACCACUUGAGAAUACCAGGUGUAGUA